GAGACAGUUGUGGAUUACGCUCCGUGUCA
rnacentral:sRNA from 1 species